UACAUGCCUGGCGGCCCUGCGGGACCCCAGGUGAACUGCAGCCUCCCCCGCUGAGAGUGAAGGAACGCUUGCAAGAAACUCGCCAGUGGGGCAGGGCAGCACUUUGGCCCUCCAGAGCCCCGGAAAUGGCUGGACUUUGGGGUGAGGAGGGGGGGUAACCUAGACACGGCUCCCGGGGCAGUCCGGGAGGCAUUCUUGUUCCCGCUGCCUGUGCAGCUCCCUCUCGAGGCUCUCUGCUCCCGACCGCAUGCACCCCAGAAGGAGCCCGGAGAAGCAGCCGGGACCGGCUCAGCCCUCCCAGGAAGGUCAGUCGAGCCGUGGUAGCGGGUAGAGCUGAGCCCGACCCUGGAGCAUCCUCACCUCCUCCCCCGCAUCCACCACGGACCGGACCCCGGGGACACCGACCCAGAGAAGGGAGAUCGGAACCGAGGAAGCCCCCUGCCUUCCUCACCUCUGGUGGCACCCCACGUUCGGAAACCCCCCUCCCCCUCCCAGAGACCUGAAGCCGCGGGGAUGGGCGCUGACCCUGAACAGAUGUACAGUCCUUAGGAGGGGUGCUGAGGGAGAGGAACCGCGUUGUCACUACAGAAGCCUCCUUUUCCUAUUGCCCCGUCUCCAUCUCUGCCCUCCCCACUCCUAGAGCAGGCUCCGCUCCCAGCUCCUGAGGACAUUUUGCAGGAGUCACCGGCAAAUAUGUCACAGGAAGAUUUGGGAAGAGUAGCCCGGGAGAUGUUCCUGCGUCGGAACGCAGCAUUUGCACUAUUAAAACAAAAACAAACAAACAAAAAAACCCAACUUGAGGAGCGCUUGGUAAAUGUGAAGAUUUCCCUAAAUCAGGUUACCGCGUCUCUCCUUCCUGUCUGUACCAUUUAGCCUCGGAUCCGGGAUGAGUAUCACAGCUGUAACUCAGCAGAGGAAAGCUCUGCUGGGGCUUUGCCUUCUCUCCUCUCUCUCCCAGCCCCCGAUGACAGCACCGCGAUGGACCCUUUCAGCAAAAGUUUCCCCAUGUUUUGCUCUGCUCCUUCUAUCAGGAAGCAAAACCCCGCCCGGGGAGAAGAAAGAUUUCAGCUCUCCUGGAAAAGCGCUGUGUGUGCAAAGCUGCCUUCCUGUGUCCGCGGAGCCGUGCUCGUAAUCAUCUCAGCCACUACAUCUUGAUGGCACCCGGCAACUCCGUGGUAAGCAGCGCAUUUUGAGUUUGACAGAGACACUGUUAUUAGCAGCUCUUCUCUUUUAAGCGCUACGUGUUAGACACACCUCCUAAGGGGAAAAAAGAAUUUGCUCCUAAGCUUAGGACAUUUAAAAUGAACACCCCACCCCAUUUAUGUGCAUCUACAUUGUGCUAAGCAUCUGUAUAGACAAAUCCACUGGAAAAUCACAGAACAAACUGCUUAGCCCCUUCACUCAUAGAACAAAACAAACAAACAAACAAACAAAAAAACAAAAAAAAUCACGAGGAUGAGAAUAUUUACCAACGAUGAUUUUCACCUCUUGCAGAGGAAUUGAGAGAUGCUCCUUGGGGGAGGAAGCCGAGACAACAACUUUCAUCGAGGAGAUUUCCAAAAGAAAUUAUUUCCAUAUCCAGUGCUGCCAAUUGAUCUCUAGUGAGAAGUAGCCAGGCUGUUUCCUGCCUUUAUCUUCACAUCUCCCAGAUAUCUGCUUGUCUCUGGCACAGAGCUACCCUGUUAGGGUGAGGUCUGAGAAUACAAGCCCUGAGUGUUUUAUAGCUUGGGUGGUCAAAGGGCAGACAGGGAGGACGGAUUUCUCUGUGGACCACUUCCAUGGUGAUCUUUUCUAUUAUGCUCAGGGUUGUGGUACCUCUUCUUUUCAGCCCCCAUAUGCACCCAGGGUCAAUAGAAACAUCUGCAGGGAUAAAGGUCCUCUCAAAGGCCAUCAAAGUUACCAAUGGGCUUGGGGUAAAAUGCCAAGUCCUCCCAGCGCUCUCACGACAUGGAGGCCUUCCUCAGCAACCUCAAUGCCUGUUUCACCCCCUUGCUGGAGGGUUGGAUAAGGGGUUAUGAGGGAAGGGCAGGCCCCAGAAGACAGUUCUGGCUUCCUUUCCUUCCUUUCCAAUCUCCAUGUGGUACAGAGGCAAAGGAAAGCAUCCCUUCUGCUAUCUUCUUUUCCAUCCCAGCACCAUGUGUAUUCAGGACACCUCUCUCCUUGAAGAUUUUGAACUUAUUUUUGGUCCUUGGGACUGGGAAGACAAAUUAGAAGCCUUAAUCUCUCUGUUGGAGGUUCAUGAAAAUGAGAAUUUGCCCUAAGGUUAGUAUAGGUGAAAAGCAAGAGCUGGGGACUCAGGGCUCACCUAGCACAGGUGGGUACAUCACUCCUGGCAGAGCUGGGUGCCUGAGAAUGCUGCCCCAAACCCUGCCCUUGAUCCCCUACUGUGCUGAAAGGAUCUGUCACACUCUUCCACUGAUAUUUAGUCCUCUCUGGGGCUUGCACACUCAUUUACGCAUUAUACCAGACAGAUGACUUUAAUGAUUUUGUACACGAGGGAGUCAGGCAUUUGACAGAUGCCAGGUAUAUAAAAUAUAUAUAAAAUACUGGAGAGAAUGAGACAAUGAACCAGAAAAUAAUACUAGCAGUAUGAAACACAGAGAGUGAGAAGAAAAGAAGUAACAAAUACAGAACAAGAUAACAAACAAGGCUCCAUGCAAAUAAAACAUUAAUAGACAUUUACCAUCGGAUAUUAAAUGAGUUAAACAAAUGUAUGGUCAAACCUUUAACAGAAGAGGACAUGUAAUCACUUAACUAUGCCCAGAGUAGUGUGUUCAUAAAAGCAUUAUAAAACAGAAUCUGAUGAGGGAUGGCACUGAAGUACUGACAUAUCUCAUCUUCCAGUUUGAUAGUGCUAAGGAUAAAGGAGCUUCUUGAUUUCUCCUCCCCUGGUGAAAGCCCUGAGCCCUUCAUCACAGACAGCAAAGAGAUGCAUUGUUUUUACUGGCCAGCAACAUUAAACACUGCCAUGCUAACAAAAACUACCUAACUUUUAUUUCCCUUUUCUCUACAUGAAUAUGGGAUUUUCUGGAUCCCUUUGAGUCUAAAAGCUGGACGUACAAAGAAUUAUUUAAAACAGACCACACUGAUGAAAUCGAAACUCCCAGCAGGCUGCGACGAGGAUCAGUCUAAUGUUCAAAGCCAAACUGAUCUCCUCUCGUGCAGAGCAGAUAUGUGGUGAACUGGAAAGUCAAACCUACUGUUUUAUUAAGGAUAAACACAGUAUCUAGAAGAACAUCCCGCUAGGCACUGUAAAGCUGAGGAGGCAUUUUUAAUGCAAACAUGCACUUAGUUUGUCUACCGUUAAAGCCCCAGAAAAUGCAGAUCUGCACUUUUGUGUGUAGGACUAAUUGUUAUUUGCAAAUGUUGCAGGGUUCCAGGUGAGUGAGUAACUAUAGAGUGGGACAGAUCUGAAAGCUGUUUCAGAGCAAUCUACAAAAUAUAUUUGGUGAUAACCUUUGUAGUCUUUGUCCAGUCUUGGAAAGACAGCUACUAAAAAUGAAGACUCCCAGUAGAGCAUAUGUUCACUGCUGACAGAAAUACAUCUGAGUGCCGACAGAAGUGUGACUUUCAGGAGAAAGCAAAGAAGAAACUACUAAAAGAUAUAUGGCCUUGAUUGAUGUGAUCUGGGUGUUAAACAAUGUGAAAAAGGAACCAAGCACUUGUAUGUUUAUGUUUAUAAAAGGAUAUGUAUUAUAGUUGUAAAAUAAGGCUCUAAAAAGACCGAGAGUUGAAUUGAGCGAUCUCCAAAGUGUUUGUGUGUCUGUAGAGGGGGGGGGGGGGCUCUAUCGCAGAAAAGUUUUUUUUUUUAAAAGUUGCACACAGAAGAAAAGAACAUCCUUGACCCAAACCUCGGGCCAGUUUAGCUUGAAGUGAUUGGGAAAACAAAAA